CUUCUCUUUCUUGUGUACUUUCCUUUUCUUCUGUACUUGGGUUUUUGUUUUCUGUACACUGCUCAGAAAUACACUGUUCUGUACCUUGGUACAACAUAGUGGAUGGAGAUCACUCCAUGUCAGCCUGGAGAGCUCAUCCUCACUUUUUUUUUUAACAGCUUAUGGACUCCUUGAGUGGAUGAACCAGGAUUUAUUUAACAGUCCCCUCCUGAUGAACACUGGGUUGUUUCAAGAGCAUUUGCUGUUACAAAUAAUGUGGAGCAGUCAUAAUCUUUGUAAGACAUUUCCUGUGUUCCUCUGUGUAAGCUUACUGCUCAGUUGGGCAUUCCAAUUUCUAACUCCCUUUCUAUGCAACACCAUUUCAGAGCAACUCUUUAUACUGUGAUUGACAGCAACUCAUUUCUCAGUGUCUUUAAACAGUAAGCUAAAGCUGACACAUAUGAUAAAUACAGUAAAAGCUGCCAAUUUCGUCUUUUUUCUUCUUUUUUUUCCCCUCACUGAAUAGGAACGAUGGUUUCAAUUCCUGUCUUACUAAAGGCUUAACAACAUAACUGGUUUCAAGAAUGAACAGUAAAAUUCAUUGCACUGUUUAGAAAACUUCCACACUAACCACUCCCUUUUCCUCCAACUUCUCUUUUGCCAGUGAUGGUACCAGAGAACAUUCCCAAUUUGAUCAACUAAACCCCUCCCCCACAACGCUGGUGACCAGGCGCAGACAGUGGGCUGUAUACCCUCUAUCUAGUUCUUCUUGGCUUAGCAUACAUAUGUAGCACACAUACACACACACACACACACACACACACACACACACACACACAAACAAACUGACUAUGAGUAAGAAGCAAUCUACAGGGUUUUUUUUGCGAGAGCCUUUAAUUGCAGGCAUGCAAGUAUGUGCACACUUUUCCCCUGGCCACAUCUGGGAGACUCCUGGAAAGCGCUGUGAUGACUCAGACCCACUUCUGAGAACAUGGCCCGGUGAAGACUGAGUGGAGGCGAUGCAGGCUUACAAGCAUCACUGAGGAUGGCAGAUGGAACUCGUCGCUGGAACUCAGGAGAGAGAAGAGAUACCGGAGAACUGCUGGGGGAGAAGAAGCUCUCCAUAACAAGAAGGUCACUGCAUUUCAGAACCCGCGCGGCACCAGGAGGGAAUCACAUACUUCAGUGUCACUCAGAAGAAGAAAAAUGAGACAGAGGGGUAGUGACUAACCUAAUGGCACACACAAGGCACAAGAACACAGGUCUAUGGAUCCCCAGGGAAGAACCUCUUACUUCUGUCAGACACAGGUGAGAAACACCCUGACAUAAAUGAAAACAGAAGUUAUAGGUCUCCUCUUGCAAACUUGUGAGGUGCUUUCAGGAUAAAUCUUAACGGCUGCUUUUACAUUUACUGUGUUGGGUAAGACACUGAUGUGAGCCAAGCAAGUGACGGAUGGUGAUAGGUUGCUUCUCUGGUAACCCCAGCUCCUAGGAACACGCUGAGAUCCGAGGAGUUUGCAAAAUAAAAAA